rnacentral:tRNA from 1 species
GCCGGGGUGGUGGAAUUGGUAGACACGCAGUCUUGAGGGGGCUGUGAGCUUUCGCUCGUGUGGGUUCAAGUCCCGCCCUCGGCACCA